GACGUAGGGGGCCAGCGUUGUUCGGAAUUACUGGGUGUAAAGGGUUCGUAGGCGGUGUAGCAAGUCGGACGUGAAAUCCCUCAGCUUAACUGGGGAACUGCGUCUGAUACUGGGAGGCUUGAGUAUGGGAGAGGGAUGUAGAAUUCCAGGUGUAGCGGUGAAAUGCGUAGAUAUCUGGAGGAAUACCGGUGGCGAAGGCGGCAUCCUGGACCAUAACUGACGCUGAGGCGCGAAAGCUAGGGGAGCAAACGGG
rnacentral:rRNA from 1 species